AUGAUUAUUAAUUAGAAAGAUGUCUAGUAGGCUUUCUUAUUUCAUAUAAUAUGUAAAAUAAUCUUUAUUAAUUAGAGAAUCAACAGUCAAAAUAAAAAAAAAUUCAAAAUAAGGAAAUACUAUAAAAAGAAGUCUUUUCAAAUUAUAGGGUUUUAGACAAUUGUAUUGUUCGUCUACACCUAAACCUCUGCUAAUGUACACAUGCAAAUCUCAAAAUAGAAUUGAUAAACUAAAGCAAGCUUCCACUUGAAUUUGUAAAUUUUUGUGAUUGUGAUUGUGAAAAUACAAUUAAAAAAAAUGUGAACCCAUGAUUGAUGGUAAAUUGGUAAAAAAAAUCACUUGAACUACGUUAUUUGAUCACAAAUUAAUUGAAUUUUCCCAAUUAUCUAUAUGAAUAUAUAUUUGAUAUAGUUCAAAUUUGUUGUUUAGUUAUUUAUUUAUUUAUGUUGUUUACUUGGUUGAUUAAAUAAAUAAAUAAAACAAUUUAAAAGCCAUUUGGCCGGGCAAAGCUCUAUUUGUUAAGUAAUGAAAUUGCUUAUUGAAAAAAUAGAUUCAAAUAAUUUGAGAAAAAUUAUUAUUUGGGAAAAAAAAGAGAAUAGGUAAAAUAAUGAAAUGGGAUUAGAAGAAGGGCCUGCUCGGUACCAUAUUGUCCCACGGCGAUGUUGUGUGGGUUGUAUUUGAAGGUUUCAACGUUUAAUUAAUAUUGUGUUUGCACACUUUAAACAUUUGUUAAAAGUACUUUGUCUAUUGACAAAUUAUAUUAUUAAAGCAAAACCUUAAUGGUGCGUUUACUUCCCGGAUUGGGAAUGAGUUGAAAUUGAAAUGGCAAACAAAAAUCAAAAUAAAUUGUUUACUUAAGUUGUUAGAAUUAUAAUUAAAAUGAAUUUCACUUUCAUUGAUGUGUUUACUUUAUACUGGAAUUGGAGUGGACUGU
rnacentral:lncRNA from 1 species